rnacentral:rRNA from 1 species
GACGAACGCUGGCGGCGUGCUUAACACAUGCAAGUCGAGCGGAAAGGCCACUUCGGUUUUACUCGAGCGGCGAACGGGUGAGUAACACGUGAGUAAUCUGCCCUUGGCUUUUGGAUAGCCACCGGAAACGGUGAUUAAUACCGGAUACGACCACUCCAGCCAUCUGGUGGUGGUGGAAAGUUUUUCGGCCAGGGAUGUUCUCGCGGCCUAUCAGCUUGAUGGUGAGGUAAUGGCUCACCAUGGCUUCGACGGGUAGCCGGCCUGGGAGGGUGACCGGUCACACGGGGCCUGAGACACGGACCAGACGCCAACGGGAGGCAGAAGGGGGGAGUAUUGGCCAAUGGGAGGAAGCCGGAUCCAGCAACGCCGCGUGAGGGAUGACGGCUUUUGGGUUGUAAACCUCUUUCGGUAGGGACGAAGCGGAAGUGACGGUACCUAAUAAAGAAGCACCGGCCAACUACGUG